rnacentral:misc_RNA from 1 species
AGUCUGCAUCAGGAACAUUUGCUUUUAAGUCUAGUUGACUGUAUUAUUCUAUUUUUAAUUAAUCAACUCUUUGGUUUUGGUUUUCUUCUCUUUGGGCAUCUAGUCUUGACUUAAUGUUCUUUCUAGAUUCCCCUCCUUUCCUUUCUUUUUCUUCCAAUUAAAAUUUCAGAAAGCGGUAAAAAUAUUGGGAAAUUUCAAGUUUCACCUAACAAUUCACUCGGUGUUCUUAUUAGGGGGAUGGCAGGAUGGUGCUA